AAUUUAUUCUUAUUUUUUAAAAUCUUUUUAUUUUUAAUUUUCAAAAUUUUUUAAAUUUUAUAGGUAAGUUCUAUUUCUUUUUUGUACUUUGUACAGCUAUUCAUGUACUUUGCCCACUUGUGUACAGGUACUUUUUGUUAAUGCCAUAAAUGUCAUUGUUCCAUCAGGUUGAUUUCUUCAGGAACAGUCUCUACUGACUCUUGUCUGAGCCAAACCUCUUUUGAUUGCAGAUCCCAGAAACUCAUUAAAACCAUCCUAUACAGAAAGGGGAAUUUUCCAGAACCCAAGUGCAGCUGGGCAUUCCUUACAAGGACUGCCUCUGGGACCAAGGCGGUGGUUCUUUCUAUCACUCUUGGCUGUGUAGUUGUUUAAUUCUCUGUUUCUGUGGACCAGCUUUCUCUGUUUAUUGUUGCACACAGUAGGAAAUGGUGGUCUAGCUACUGGAAACCAGCCCCAAAUUCCAGGAGAGAGAAUAUCAUUGGCCGCCUUUUGGGUCAGGGGUCCCCCACCGGGUCAGUUAGCUGUUUGGUGCCAGGCUGUGUAGGCAUGCAGAGAAAGAUCUCAGGCUAGUCUGUCCCUGGGCCUGAACUGGUGGCUCUGAGCCUUUUGCUGUAUUCUCAGAGGUUUAUUCCACCUAGGCAUGUUACUUUGCACCCUUGUCAGGUUGGUUGAGUUUGCUCAGAGGGGGACUAUUCUCCUUGUCAAUGCUGUUUGGAUGAGAGGCUGUUAACAGAGGGACAUUCACUCUCCUCACCUCCUCCAGGCCAGUUGGUUAGUCUUUACAAUACUGAUUUGGGCUCACAUGCCCCUGGGAGUAGGAAGAUUCCACGGGGUACCCAGCCAAGGAUAGUUUUAAGGGAAUCACUUUUUAGUUCCUCAGCUUCCAUUACAUUUGCUAAAAUUGAGCAGCCUGAGAACACACCUGGCUCAAGGGCCCUAUAAUCUUUUUCCCCUCACCCAUUUUAGUCAGACCAUGGCAUGUUGCCCUGGAGUAUAAAAACCAUCUCUGAGGUGCCAUGGGGAUAAUUCCAAAUACUGGUAAUGUUGAGAAUGUGACUCUAAUGACUAGGUAACACAUCUUUUUGCAAGUUAAAAGUUUUCUGAGUCUUUGCUUUUAACAAAAUUGAAGGAAGAAACAAUUGUGUUGUCAGUUGGUCAUUAAGAAUAAUUCUGAUAAUUGACAUGACAUGACUUUUAGUGUUUAACUCGGGUUCAUAGAAUUCAGAGACAUGGCUAUUAAAAAACUUACAUUCCCAUCUGUUUAUGAGAACAAGUUUUCUUAGUGCUUAAUAUCUGUAAAAAUAAAAAAUAGGAAUGGAAUUAGUGCUGAAACUGUCUUUAACAGUCGAGAGGAUCAUGCAUGGAAACAUGAACCAGACCCCUCUAAUAAAAUGUUGUUCAUAUUUUAUAGCUAUCAAUAUUUUUGUUUUGUUCAGGUAUGUACUAAUUAUAAUGCAAUCUAGAAUAAAAUAUUUUUUAACACUUACAGCCUUAUGGUCACAGGAAAUUUAACCAAAUUUAAAUUGUAAUAUGUUAUAGAGAAUUGUAAGUCUGAUCAAUAAGAGAUUUUUGAGCCUAACAAUAUGCUACAUUAGGGUAAAGUUUUGGGAGUAAAUUCUAGGUGGAAUGGAAAUACAAAUUCAAAAUUGUAGAGUGAAAUGGAAAUACAAGUUCAAGAAGAAAUUUCUGACUGUAAAUAGAGAUUUAUAGUUUUAGCUUGAAGAAGUUACAUGUCCAGUUGGGAUGGCAUUUGCAUUCUACUGGAUACAUUUAUAAGAGCGACUUGACAGUUUAAGCCAUUAUUUACAAUAUACCAGAAACUACUAUUUUAACAGUGAAAAGUUUUAGAUGUUAAACUUGUAUCUGCAGAAGGGUACACACAAAUUUUCAAAAUUAUUUUAGGGUGCACAAGAACAAGAAAGGUUGAAAAUAACUACUUUACACUUCUUUCAUUUCAAAGAAGUAUCCACUUAUACCUUUUUUUUUUUUUUCUAUGUCAGCCAGAUUCCCUUUUAGGGUUUGACUAGGUUUCCUUCUUUCUAGUCCCUCAUCCAGUAUGACUCUGGUUUGCAGCUCUCAGUGGCAGGAUGAAGUUGGGAGUGGCUUUUGUAACACUAGCUAGCUUUCUUUGAUUUAUAUACUUUUUCUCUCCUUUAUGAGUGUGGCUCUGGGCAGCCUGCCCGGUUCUCUGGACCAUUGAUCUUCAAAGGCUAGAGGAUACACCAGGGGCAGUUAUGAUUGAUUGCUUAGAAAUUCUGAUACUAUCUGGUCCCAGUGAUUUAAUACAUUUAUUUGACAUUUGACUGCACAUAUCAUGGGUUGGCUCACUCUAAUCUGUCACCAAAGGCUGGCAGUGUAGGGUUGGUUGAGAAGUAGGGUCCUGUCUUUAGUGCUCCUCUAAUCAAGUUCUUUGGUUGUCAUCCUUGGUCAUCCAGGGCCUCUUCUGACCCAUCGUCAUCAAGGAGUUCCACUAAUCCUGUUUCUUCCAGAUAUUUACUUAAUGUGCAGGGACCCAAAGAUGAAUCAGAUAGCUUUGCCUUUGUAAGCACGCACUCUGAUUAUUUCAAAAUUAGGUAUUAUUUUUAAAAAUUACUUUAAAAAUUAUUUCUAGGUCUUUUUCAGGGUGUCUCAUCUCUUAGGGUUGGUAAACCAUUUGGCCAAGAAUCUUUUUUGUUAUGGAGGAAUUCCGCUAUUACCCCUCACUUGUCUCAAUUGGGGAGCUCCUUGGGACUGGUGGGGUUUGGUUACUUUAGGAUAGGCUGCCCCUGGCUGGAUGUGGAUAGAGGAGCCUGGCUGAGGCUUCCGUUCUGGGAAACAUGUCACACCUUGGCAGUGAGCAGCAUCAGCUGACUGUUUCAUUACAUGAAUAGACUGGGGUGGCUCAGCCACCCCCUGAGGUGGUAUUGGAGUGAAUGGGUCAUUGCAGUCUCCUCUGCCAUUAUCAGCUGUCUCUUGCAUAAAGCUUGAAUCAGGAAUCCUGGCCUUGGUGUGGCUCCAGGGUGCACAGGGUGCUUUGCUGCUGCAGGAUGUGUUGUGGUGGGUAAAUUGAGACUAGAUAUCGCUUGCUUAGGAUCUGGGGUCUGUGAGAGCUGAUUUCUCAGGAAGCUGCUUCAUGGCACCGAUGGAAAGACAUGAGCAAGCAGAGUGGCUAGGAAAAGCAUUUUUUAGAUAAUAUAUUUUUCCUUGAGUGCUGACACAGCUACCCUGGGACAUCGUGCCUGUUCUUGCCCCGACCUUGUCUGUGACAUGGAGCUUUGUCAUGGUCACAUGGCUGUACCUCAGGGCCAAAAUACAGGCCUUUCACUCUACCCAACAUAUACUAGCUAGAUGGGACUCUGCCAACUCCCAAUACCACACUCCAAGGAAGUGGGCUGAACCUGCCCCAGGCUGUAAGAAAUGAUGGGGUAGCCUCCCUGUCAGCAGGGAAAAAGUUUUAGAAGCAGAAACUCAUUGCAGAAAGGCCUUGGUAUGCCUACAAAGUACAACUGACAAAGUCAUGGACCUUGGUUUUCAAAGGCAGAGAGGAAGCGAGCCUGGGACCUGGGAGAAGUGCCAGAAGUUGGCUCAGACAUAGGGGUGUUUCCUGAGGGCGCCUAGCUAGGCAGAAAGGCUGCACCAGGGCUCUUCACACAUUUCAGCAUCCGGGAGAGAGAAGUGGGAAGAGGGCAAGUGGGCAGGAGUAAAGCAGAGGCGCUUGGGCAGGGCUCUACUGGCCUCAGGGUUAAUUUCAGGGUCCCGCUGUGCCAGACUUAUGCUGAAGUUGUUGAGAGAAUGGAGCCUGAGCCCAGGACUGUGGGAAAGCCAAGGAAGGAGGCAGCUUGGUUGCUCAGCUCAGCCCAGGCCCCUUUCCUUGGGGACGCCCCAGCACAGGUUAUGGAAGUGCCUUGCCACUGGAGAGGGUGGGGAAAGAUGGAAGAUGUUCUAGAAUUGGUUAAACCGCCAGGCUCCAAGUCCAUCUUCCUCUCCCCCAGAGCUCUCCUGCUUAGGCCACAAAACCUCCAUGUUAGACAGCAGAUUAAUUUGAAAAUUGAGUUGCAGCUAUGAGUUGAUGUCAACUUCAAAGUUCAAUGGCGUUUAAUUAAAGCCAUCCAGGGACUAAACCCGCUCUCAGGAAAUUAUUCUGGCCAAAUAAUUAAAGAGAAUGAAGGUUAGAUUUGAGUUUCUGGCUAAGUCUGUAUUGUGUUUGGCAUCACCAAAACAUGAGUUACAUUAAGCUUUCAUGAACCAACCUUUCGUGAACCAACCAACAGUUAGUUGUCAGUCUAACUAGAGUCACACAGAAGAGCCUUUUUUUAUACUUGAUAUCAGUUCCCUUUUCUCCUGGAGUUAUGUCCUCUGGAAGAAACAGUCAUUUGGAAAAUUGAUUUAUAACUAUAUGUGUCUGCCCAUCCCUCCUUUAGCUGGGUCCUGUUCAUUGAGCAUCAGAAAGAAUUGUGCCGGAGGGAGUAAGCCACAGAUGCAGCAGGAGGGCUCGGGUUUCCAAGUCAGCUCAAGCCAGUGUCGGCUGGAUGUUACUGCGCAGAGGCAGGCUUGAGUACCCUGUGACCUUUCCCAGAAUGCAUUCUGGCUUGGCUAUAUGAACGAGGAGGAGACGGGAUGACCAGCCAAUUUGUUUCCAGUGUAUACAGAAUCCGUGUCUCUAAGCAACAUAGGAGAAGUGGAGAAAGCAGGGAAUACAGUGUCCUACUGAGUCCAAGGAUUUCACAAAGGCUAAUACGAGGGAGGCAGUGGCGUCGGGUCAGGUAGGUAACCAAGCUCACCACGAUUAGCCAAUGUAAACAUUAGAGAAAGUAUAGACACUAAAUUUAAAUGAAGCUAUUCCUCUAUUAAAUGGAAGCAUAAA